AACGAACGCUGGCGGCAUGCCUAACACAUGCAAGUCGAACGAACCCUUCGGGGUGAGUGGCGCACGGGUGCGUAACACGUGGGAACCUGCCCUUAGGUUCGGAAUAACACAGAGAAAUUUGUGCUAAUACCGGAUAAUGUCUUCGGACCAAAGAUUUAUCGCCUUUGGAUGGGCCCGCGUAGGAUUAGCUAGUUGGUGAGGUAAAGGCUCACCAAGGCGACGAUCCUUAGCUGGUCUUAGAGGAUGAUCAGCCACACUGGGACUGAGACACGGCCCAGACUCCUACGGGAGGCAGCAGUGGGGAAUAUUGGACAAUGGGCGAAAGCCUGAUCCAGCAAUGCCGCGUGAGUGAUGAAGGCCUUAGGGUUGUAAAGCUCUUUUGGCAGGGACGAUGAUGACGGUACCUGCAGAAUAAGCCCCGGCUAACUUCGUGCCAGCCGCCGCCGUAACAC
rnacentral:rRNA from 1 species